rnacentral:rRNA from 1 species
GUGGGGAAUCUUGCGCAAUGGGCGAAAGCCUGACGCAGCCAUGCCGCGUGAAUGAUGAAGGUCUUAGGAUUGUAAAAUUCUUUCACCGGGGACGAUAAUGACGGUACCCGGAGAAGAAGCUCCGGCUAACUUCGUGCCAGCAGCCGCGGUAAUACGAAGGGGGCUAGCGUUGCUCGGAAUUACUGGGCGUAAAGGGCGCGUAGGCGGACAGCGUAGUCAGAGGUGAAAGCCCAGGGCUCAACCUUGGAAUUGCCUUUGAUACUGGCUGUCUUGAGUUUGGGAGAGGUGAGUGGAACUCCGAGUGUAGAGGUGAAAUUCGUAGAUAUUCGGAAGAACACCAGUGGCGAAGGCGACUCACUGGCCCAAUACUGACGCUGAGGCGCGAAAGCGUGGGGAGCAAACAGGAUUAGAUACCCGAGUAGUCC